ACCGGUUGAAACUUUUCCCAGUCAUUCUCUCUCUGUCAGAUUUCUCUGUCCUUUGUCUUGGUCUUUUAUCAUCUCUCACUCUCGUCUCUUGCUUUCGAAGGCUUCUUCAAGAUCUCUGUAUUCUCCAGUAGCUUAUUGGUUCGAAAGAGUUCUAAUUGAAGAAGAGGACGAAGAGAAAUGGUAUACAAGAAGAUCAGAGAUUAUGAUUCGAAGAGGUUGUUGGAGCACUAGAAGAGGCUUGCCGACAUCAAAUUGCGCAUUAAAUAAGCACAAGUGCAUGCCAUUUCUUAGAUUUGGAAAUGUAAUUCUGCGUGACUACCUUGUCUUCACAAAUUAACUUCAUAACUCCUCAAUGAUGAGCUUCUGGAAUGGGUUGUGAUUCUUGGCAAUUGUUUCCUUAUAACAGUUGUAUUGUGUUGACAAUGUUUAUGAUUUGUUCAAAAUGAGUUUUGACUCC